rnacentral:rRNA from 1 species
CCUACGGGGUGCAGCAGUGGGGAAUAUUGGGCAAUGGGCGCAAGCCUGACCCAGCAACGCCGCGUGAAGGAAGAAGGCUUUCGGGUUGUAAACUUCUUUUAAGGGGGAAGAGCAGAAGACGGUACCCCUUGAAUAAGCCACGGCUAACUACGUGCCAGCAGCCGCGGUAAUACGUAGGUGGCAAGCGUUGUCCGGAUUUACUGGGUGUAAAGGGCGUGCAGCCGGAGAGACAAGUCAGAUGUGAAAUCCACGGGCUCAACCCGUGAACUGCAUUUGAAACUGUUUCCCUUGAGUGUCGGAGAGGUAAUCGGAAUUCCUUGUGUAGCGGUGAAAUGCGUAGAUAUAAGGAAGAACACCAGUGGCGAAGGCGGAUUACUGGACGAUAACUGACGGUGAGGCGCGAAAGCGUGGGGAGCAAACAGGAUUAGAUACCCCC